rnacentral:rRNA from 1 species
GGGCCCGCACAAGCGGCGGAGCAUGCGGAUUAAUUCGAUGCAACGCGAAGAACCUUACCUAGGUUUGACAUAUACCGGAAAGCUCUAGAGAUAGAGCCCCUUUUGUCGGUAUACAGGUGGUGCAUGGCUGUCGUCAGCUCGUGUCGUGAGAUGUUGGGUUAAGUCCCGCAACGAGCGCAACCCUCGUCUUAUGUUGCCAGCACGUAAUGGUGGGGACUCAUAAGAGACUGCCGGGGUCAACUCGGAGGAAGGUGGGGAUGACGUCAAGUCAUCAUGCCCCUUAUGCCUAGGGCUUCACGCAUGCUACAAUGGCCGGUACAAAGGGCUGCGAUAUCGCAAGAUGGAGCGAAUCCCAAAAAGCCGGUCUCAGUUCGGAUUGGGGUCUGCAACUCGACCCCAUGAAGUCGGAGUCGCUAGUAAUCGCAGAUCAGCAACGCUGCGGUGAAUACGUUCCCGGGCCUU